CCUACGGGUGGCAGCAGUAGGGAAUCUUCGGCAAUGGGGGGAACCCUGACCGAGCAACGCCGCGGGAGUGAAGAAGGUUUUCGGAGCGUAAAGCUCUGUUGUAAGAGAAGAACGAGUGUGAGAGUGGAAAGUUCACACUGUGACGGUAUCUUACCAGAAAGGGACGGCUGACUACGUGCCAGCAGCCGCGGUAAUACGUAGGUCCCGAGCGUUGUCCGGAUUUAUUGGGCGUAAAGCGAGCGCAGGCGGUUAGAUAAGUCUGAAGUUAAAGGCUGUGGCUUAACCAUAGUACGCUUUGGAAACUGUUUAACUUGAGUGCAAGAGGGGAGAGUGGAAUUCCAUGUGUAGCGGUGAAAUGCGUAGAUAUAUGGAGGAACACCGGUGGCGAAAGCGGCUCUCUGGCUUGUAACUGACGCUGAGGCUCGAAAGCGUGGGGAGCAAACAGGAGUAGAUACCCCUGUAGUC
rnacentral:rRNA from 1 species